rnacentral:snRNA from 1 species
UUGCCCACUUCAGCAGCACAUAUACUAAAAUUGGAAUAAUACAGAGAGGAUUGUCAUGGUUCCUGAGCAAAUUUGUGAAGUGGUCCAUAUUAAA